CUGGAUUCUGCAGUUCUGAGUAGAAUGAAGCAAUUUUCUGCAAUGAACAAGCUCAAGAAAAUGGCUUUGAGAGUGAGUCUAUCAAUAUGCAAAUACUAAUUUAUGAACAUAUUGGAGAUAAAAUAGAUUGGUUGAAACUAGUCUGCUAGAUAUUAGAUAUGUUAUACGUGUUACAGGUCAUUGCCGAUAGCCUAUCCGAAGAAGAAAUUGCUGGUCUAAAAGAAAUGUUCAAGAUGAUAGACACAGAUAAUAGUGGUCAAAUAACUUUUGAGGAGCUCAAAGAUGGAUUAAAAAGAUUUGGCUCUAAUCUGAAGGAGUCCGAGAUCUAUGAUCUUAUGCAGGCGGUAAGUCUCUUAUUAGUCCUUGAUCCAGCUCUGAAGAUAUGUAACUUACUGCAAAAGAAACUUUUUGGUUGAUGCUACCAUUGUAUUAAUCCAACUGAUAUAUAGCAUAUUUUUUAUGCAAUCAAAGUUUCUGUAAGUGGGCGUACUGGUGACCUAUUCAUUGUUCGGGGAAGGGAAAGAAUUAAGACAAAAAUUCAUUAAUUUAAUCCUUUUCAUUGUUGUGAUACUUUAUAUUUCCAAAUCUGUCAUCAGUUUAUAAUCAAAGGUUUAGAUUGGUUUAGCUUUGGGACAUUCUUAAAUCUCUUAUUCAGCCAACACAAAGAUGAUGGCAUACUUCAGUAACUCUUUAAAUUGACUGAAAUUGCAGGCUGAUGUUGAUAACAGUGGAACAAUUGAUUAUGGUGAAUUUAUAGCUGCAACAUUACAUAUGAAUAAGAUUGAAAGACAAGAUCAUCUUUUUGCUGCUUUCUCUUACUUCGAUAAAGAUGGGAGUGGCUACAUCACUGCAGACGAGCUUCAACAAGCUUGUGAAGAAUUUGGCAUUGGGGAUGUCCGCAUGGAAGAAAUGAUCAGAGAAGCUGACCAAGACAAUGUAAGUCCCAUUUCUCACCACUUGAUAUUAAAUCCUAUUUUUUAAGGGGUUUCAGGGAAGGUUUUGAUCAGAGAGAAAACAUAAGUAAGUUGUCAUAGUGAAGUCAAUGGCCAAGUGGCUGAGGCAUGGGAGUAACAACCAGAGAUCUCGAGUUCGAACCCCAGCUACAACACUUUGGUGUGAGUCAAUCUUUUCUAGUCUUGGAGGGUAGGAUUAUCUUUCAUUAACUUUGCUUAUGGGCUGGACAGGGUGUCUGGUUUACUAGUCGAUUUACGCGCAAUCUGGAUCAAACACCGCCUAUAUUAAAAAGAUGGUUUAGGACUUGCUCGGACUCUCCGAAAAUUUCGCCGGGUGCGUGUCGGAUCCUCCAAAAGUAGUGUAUUUUUGGAGGAUCCGACAAGGGUGCGGCAACAUUUUGGAGAGUCCGCGCAACAUAGCUGAUUAAGACUAGUUUCUCUUAUCACCAAAAUUAUCGGGAUCUAGCUGCAAUUUAAUUCACCAACAAGGAACUUUUGAUAGGAUUAAAAGGAUUUACUUCCUUUUUACAGAAUUUCAAGCAAGUUAUUGGUUCCAAAAACACUAGAGCUUUGUUGCCUUUCUCCUCUUCAUAUAUUCCAUGAUUCAUACUGGUUUCUUAGCAUUCACAUCAUUAGACCUACUUAGAAGAUGUCUGAAUCCUAGUAAUAGUAAACGUUUGUUAAAGAACUAAAGAAUGUCUUCACUCGAAAAUGGAAGAUAUCCAACAAUGGCGGUGUUAUUCCUAUACAAAUUGGUUUAUAUUGGCUUAAUGAUGAAUUUUCCUAUUAAUUGUGAUGAUGCUACCAUGUGCAACAUGCGCUGAUUGAGUGUGUUGAUAGCAAAUUCUCUUAUUAAAUUUUCAGGACGGGCGCAUUGACUACAAUGAGUUUGUUGCCAUGAUGCAAAAGGGAAAUCCAGUGCUUGGUGGUGGCAAGAAAGGUCUAGAGCAUAGUUUCAGCAUUGGAUUCAGAGAAGCACUAAAACUAUAGAGAUCUUUAAAGAGAAUUUUUUUUCCUCCUUAGUGUUUGUCUAUUUUUUUCUUCAUUUCCUUGUGGAAAUUUUUGUGUUUUUGGGAGUGUAUAGUAUUAAACAAGUGCUUUGCUAAGCAGCAUCGUUGUUUCCAGCAUUUUUCAUUUCUUUUCAAUCUCGUGCAAUUUUCCCUUUAAUUUGCAUUAAUUAAUCUGGAAGUGAUCCUACGCUCGGUAACUUGUUUAACAUGGAAGUAACAAUAUUCAACUCCAAUUUUUAGUCAUCCUGUUUAUUUGAAUCUUCAUUUACUCAAGGGGAUGCUAACUAUCAUUGUAUUCACAAAUCUUCCAAGAUACAAACCGUUUGUUUCCCCUAACCGUGGGUUUACACUAGGAAACUCCAAAUUAUUAUGGAUGAUGUUGGCCAAGUUGAAGAUUUGUGAUGAGCUAUUUCCCUCCCUCUUCCCUAUGAAGCUGAUCUCCUAUUGUCUCACAAGCUGAUCUUGACCCAUGUUUUAUCUAGUAUUUACAGUUUACCUCGAUUUAGUACUGCUCUCGUGAUCCGCACUGAAACAAUGCUUUACCCUAGAUGUUCAGUCAACUACUACACCUCUAUGCAUUUCAGGGGAAACUAGUUAGCUCCGCGUUCAAGUAGCAUUUCAUCCCUAAUCACAACUCAUCCAAUGAUUUUUCAAUAUUAAUCUAUUUGGACCUCCACUUAGUUUCAUGGAAACGCCGUCUUGGUCAUGGAUAGAUCACCUAGUUUCGGGUCCAUAAGCAGUAACAAUUGCUCUACAAAGACUCGCUUUCGCUAUACGGCUCCGGUUGGUUCCCUUAACUAAGUCACUGCGUAUGAGUCGCCGGCAAUGGAUGAUUUAUACAACAGAUUUCAAUGAAUUUGAGAUUCAUGCAUGCAACGUUGAUUAUUGAAAGUAGCACUGGCUAUUGAUGUAGUAGAAGAUGACAACUACAUAAUGACACAGUCUUUAAGUUCUACAUAUAAAUAGGGAACGAAGUUACUAAAUCAAACUGUUCAUAACACGAGAUACUAUUCUUCUUCCUCCACUCUUAUUUUACAACUGAUAAAGUUAUAAGAAAAAAGCCCUUUCAACCACUAUGUGGCUGGGCAAUGUGCAUGGAUGCAACUCUAUAGCACAAAAGAUAUUCAGUGCAACGAUUGCCUGAAAAUGUGUUUUAUUCAACAAAAAUAUAGAUUAAUGAAUUAACUCAUCAACUCAGGAUUACGCUGGGUAGUCAUGUGCAUGUGACAUUUAAUGAAGUAUAGCUAACAUCUUUUCAUGUGCAUAUUACAUUUUAUGAAAUACACCUAGCAUGUUUGAGCAAUGUCUAAUAUAAUUUCAAGGACUCAGGAUUAGUGAUAAGAACUUAACACGUGAAAUAUAAGUUAGACGCAUGUCACACAUUCGAACCUUGUUGCAGUUCAAAACUUUAUAUUCAACUGAAUAUAUAAAGGAUAAAGAGAUCGAACCUUGCAUUUCUGAAUUAUAAACAAAGGCAGAAUACAUUGACAACCACUUAAAUCUGUCCACACUUUUCACCGAGACGCUCCAUUUUAAGUCUGUCUCAUUUGAACACUUCAACCACAUCUCAAAAUAUGUCAUUUAGACACAAAAUUGAUAGGCGGCCAAAAUACAAAAAUGCCUGCCAUUCACACGCUUGACUGACACAUGUAACUUUCUUAAAAAAGAACAAUUGUAAUUAAAAAAGAAAAAAAAUAGCAGAAAACCCUCUCCCCUCCUCGAUAAAAUUCUUCUCCGACAAAUCCUUUCCCUCCCCUCUCCUCCCCUCCCCACGCUGCUGCUUCUUCUCCCCUUCCCACCCGUUUUUGCUAUAUUAAUUCUUUGGAACUUGUCCUAAUGGCAAUAUUCUGGAAAUAGCAAAGAAAUUAUUAUGACUUUUACUGUGUGUUGCAAAAACUUGAAAGAAUUCUGUUUUCCCACUUGUUCUUUCAAAACAUAUUUUUGGGUUGAGUUUGUUUUUCAAGUUGAAAAGGAAACUUGUGAUUGGAAGACAUGGCAAGGAACAGAGUAUUCACGGAGGUGGAGGGAAGAGAAGAUGGAGGAAUUUGAAUUUGUGAGCACCUAUGAAUUCUAAAGAAGUCCAUGUUCUUGCCAUCGAUGAUAAUAUCAUAGAUAGGAAAGUUCUUGAAUGGCUACUCAAAAUCACUUUUUGUAAAAGAUUGAAUGAAAAUUCACACCCCAUAAUCUUAACCCAGCUCUUUUGCUUUUGUUUAAAAUUACAAAAAGAAAUCUUGAUAUUAAUUUGCAAUCUGAAUUUGCUGAUUUUGUUUUGGCAAAACUUGUUGGCCACAAUUUCAAUAGAUAGUUUGGUUGGAUUGGUCGAUGCUUG
rnacentral:lncRNA from 1 species